UACGAAGGGGGCUAGCGUUGCUCGGAUUGACUGGGCGUAAAGGGCGCGUAGGCGGUUCGUACAGUCAGACGUGAAAUUCAUGGGCUCAACCUGGGGGCUGCGUUUGAUACGUGCGGACUUGAGUGCGGAAGAGGGUCGUGGAAUUCCCAGUGUAGAGGUGAAAUUCGUAGAUAUUGGGAAGAACACCGGUGGCGAAGGCGGCGACCUGGUCCGAUACUGACGCUGAGGCGCGAAAGCGUGGGGAGCAAACAGG
rnacentral:rRNA from 1 species